ensembl:lncRNA
AUGUCUUCUGGGAAGUUUUGUUUGAUUAGUGUGAGGGUGUCAGCUACUGGGACUUUGGUAAAAAGGGACAUCCUGAUCAGCUUUGAUGUGGUGUCCCUUUUUACCAAAGUCCCAGUAGCUGACACCCUCACACUAAUCAAACAAAACUUCCCAGAAGACAUCACAGCCCUGUUUCACCAUUGCCUCACCACUAGCUACUUUCAGUGGGACACUGGAUUCUAUGAACAGAAGGAUGGAGUGGCCAUGGGGAGCCCUCUCAGCCCAGUAGUAGCAAAUUUCUAUAUGGAAUACUUUGAAAAACAGGCCCUAGAAACAGCACCAAAAAAGCCAACUGUUUGGUUCAGAUACGUAGAUGACACCUUCACAAUUUGGAGCCAUGGAGAGGAAGAACUCAGCAAGUUCCUGGACCAUCUUAACAGCAUCCACCCAAACAUCCAAUUCACCAUGGAAAAAGAAAAGGAAGGAAAACUGCAAUUUCUAGAUGUUCUGGUCAUCCGCAAACCCAAUCAACAAUUGGGCCACACAGUUUACAGAAAACCUACACACACAGAUAGAUACCUUCAUAAAAACUCCAACCAUCACCCAAGUCAAAAAAGGAGCACAAUCAAAGCCCUGACAGACCGUGCACAAAGAAUCUGCGAACCUCACCUCCUCCAAGGUGAACUCAACCACCUAAACUGGGCUCUACAGGCCAAUGGAUACUCCACCACAGACAUCAGAAGAGCUGCAAGGCCAAGAACAAGCCAUGAGAGUCAAGACAAAGAUCCACCCAGAGGAAAGGUGUCCUUACCAUACAUCAAGGGAACUACUGACCGCAUAGGGAAGCUGAUGAAGAAGCACAACCUACAAACUAUCUACAGACCCACGAAGAAAAUCCAACAAAUGCUACGGUCAGCGAAGGACAAGAGGGAUCCUCUCUCUUCUGCAGGAGUCUACCGGAUACCAUGCAGCUGUGGACAAGUCUACAUAGGGACCACCAAACGCAGCGCCCAAACAAGAGUCAAAGAACAUGAAAGGCACUGCAGACUAAUUCAACCAGAGAAAUCAGCCAUAGCAGAGCAUUUGAUGAACCAGCCUGGACACAGAAUACUAUUUGAGAACACAAAAAUGCUGGACCAUUCUAACAACUAUCAUGUCAGACUACACAGAGAAGCCAUUGAAAUCCACAAGCAUGUGGACAACUUCAACAAAAAGGAAGAAACCAUGAAAAUGAACAAAAUCUGGCUACCAGUAUUACAAAACUCAAAAAUCAGAACAGUAAAUAAAAAGCAAUACUCUGAAAACAGAGGAUUUCCAGACAUGAAUCAACCAAGGGCAGUUAACGACUCUAAACAAAGGAUGCCCCAGAGGCAGGAAGAAGACAGCAGAUAAGCUUUUCAAUGCUAAUUUAAGUGAUUAACUACACAACAUUCAUACUGACCUCUCUCACCCUAGACUUUCCACAGAUAUAUAUUAACCUCUUUGCUUAGUUUUCUCCAUACCUCACAACCUCUGAGGAUGCCUGCCAUAGAUGUGGGCGAAACGUCAGGAGAGAAUGCUUCUGGAACAUGGCCACACAGCCCGAAAGACAUACAACAACCCUGUGAUCCCGGCCAUGAAAGCCUUCGACAACACAAUAUUUGUUGUGUUCCUUUAACUAAUGAAGGGUUCAUACCAUCAACCUAUAAAAAUACUUUUUUGAACUAACAUUGUGUCUAUAGUAUCAAUGCCAGUAAUCCAUUAUAUUAUUUGUUAUGGCAUGUAUUGCUUUUUUGUUUAGAAAAAAACCCUUAGGAUUGAUAAGAAGAUGGUAUAAAUUUUUUAUGCAAACAAUUAUGCUCAAUUUUAUUUUGUAAACAAAGUAUAAAAGUAUGCCUUUCACCAAAAAGUAUGUUCCC